GUGAGGCCAGCUAAGGCCCGUCCUGGUUUGGGAUUAGGGGGUGAGGAGGUUCUGCUUGGCCUGACCGCCCCCAAUGUGCCAGGAAAACCUCGAGGAACCCAUGGCUCUGCAGGAACUGGACUCGAGCAACGGGGCUCUGCUGCCCUUCUACGACCCCGACACCAGUGUGGUCUACGUCUGCGGCAAGGUGGGGCUGGGCAGGGCUGGCGAGGGGCAGGGAAGAGGCGUGCCCGGGUGCUGAGCCCCCUCCCCACACAGGGUGACUCCAGCAUCCGGUACUUUGAGAUCACA
rnacentral:sRNA from 1 species